AUUGAACGCUGGCGGAAUGCUUUACACAUGCAAGUCGAACGGCAGCACGGGGGCAACCCUGGUGGCGAGUGGCGAACGGGUGAGUAAUACAUCGGAACGUGCCCAGCCGUGGGGGAUAACGUAGCGAAAGUUACGCUAAUACCGCAUACGAUCUACGGAUGAAAGCGGGGGACCGUAAGGCCUCGCGCGAUUGGAGCGGCCGAUGUCAGAUUAGGUAGUUGGUGAGGUAAAGGCUCACCAAGCCGACGAUCUGUAGCUGGUCUGAGAGGACGACCAGCCACACUGGGACUGAGACACGGCCCAGACUCCGACGGGAGGCAGCAGUGGGGAAUUUUGGACAAUGGGCGCAAGCCUGAUCCAGCCAUUCCGCGUGCAGGACGAAGGCCUUCGGGUUGUAAACUGCUUUUGUACGGAACGAAAAGGCUCUGGUUAAUACCCGGGGCUCAUGACGGUACCGUAAGAAUAAGCACCGGCUAACUACGUGCCAGCCGCCGCCGUAA
rnacentral:rRNA from 1 species